rnacentral:siRNA from 1 species
UAUGUGAGCCUUGUACUUCCCC